GAAGACAUUUCCCCCACAGAAGGAGAAGCCGCUAGACGAGAAGAAACUCCUUCAGUAGAAGAUACAAGUCUAUCUCUAGAUGACAUGGAAGAGGAUGUAUUAGUAUCAAGAAGGAAACCUAAGAAAAGUGUAAGAAAAGCAUGGACAAAAGAAGAAGAAGAAGGAAUGAAGAAAUAUUUUAAGACGUACUACGAUGGUACUACGAAGAAAACUUGCCCAAGUAGAGCAGAAUGCCAAAGAGCAAUUGAGUUGGGCAAAAACAAUGGUGGAUACAUACACCUGAGGAGUUGGGAAUCAAUAAAAAAAAAGUUAACAAUUUUCUUUUCAGCUCUGUCAAGAAGAAGUAAAAACAGAUGUGCAAAUAUGACUGGAAACGUUGGACAUUAGGCUAGAACAUAUUUUUUUAUCAUGAUUGUUUCGCAUUCUUCUACACUUUUUUCAAUGAUUGUUUUGCAGUGUUCUAUACCAUUUUUUUUUAAUAAACUCAGUUACAAAGUAAUUGUAGACAAUUCUGUUGUCAAAGCUAACUCUCUGGUUCCUGUUUAGUUAGACCAGAUCUAUACUGAGUUAAAUUUUUUUUAAUAUAAAAAUGGGACACAAGUCUAUGUGAUUAAAGUCAAGUUUUCUCUGUUGAUUGUUGCCCCAUUGGUCAUUUAUAAGGCGUCGAGAAAAUGUCAGCUCGAUGCCUUUGUGGCCAUUCCGGCCUUUGAUUUAUUUUUUGCUAUU